rnacentral:rRNA from 1 species
CCUACGUGAGGCAGCAGUGAGGAAUAUUGGUCAAUGGGCUUACGCCUGAACCAGCCAAGUCGCGUGAGGGAAGACUGCCCUAUGGGUUGUAAACCUCUUUUGUCAGGGAGCAAUUGGCGCUACGUGUAGCGUUAUCGAGAGUACCUGAAGAAACUGCAUCGGCUAACUCCGUGCCAGCAGCCGCGGUAAUACGGAGGAUGCGAGCGUUAUCCGGAUUUAUUGGGUUUAAAGGGUGCGUAGGCGGAAUGCCAAGUCAGCGGUAAAACCGCGGGGCUCAACCUCGCUCCGCCGUUGAAACUGGCGUUCUUGAGUGGGCGAGAAGUAUGCGGAAUGCGUGGUGUAGCGGUGAAAUGCAUAGAUAUCACGCAGAACUCCGAUUGCGAAGGCAGCAUACCGGCGCCCAACUGACGCUGAAGCACGAAAGCGUGGGUAUCGAACAGGAUUAGAUACCCCUGUAGUC